UACGUAGGCAGCGAGCGUUGUUCGGAGUUACUGGGCGUAAAGGGUGUGUAGGCGGUUGUUUAAGUUUGGUGUGAAAUCUCCCGGCUCAACUGGGAGGGUGCGCCGAAUACUGAAUGACUUCGAGUGCGGGAGAGGAGAGUGGAAUUCCUGGUGUAGCGGUGAAAUGCGUAGAUAUCAGGAGGAACACCAAUGGCGAAGGCAGCUCGCUGGGACGGUACUGACGCUGAGACGCGAAAGCGUGGGGAGCAAACAGG
rnacentral:rRNA from 1 species